UUUUUUCAGGAUAAAUAAUUGGAAGCUGAGAGGAUUCCCCUCAAAUGAAGAAUGACUGAAUAUAUCAUGCCAGAAGUGGAUUAUUUCGGCAAUUGUACUGCAGGAAACAUAAUGGCCACUGCCUCGUGGAAUGCCUUCUAAAUGAAGAUGAUGUGGGGGCCUGCAGAUCAGGCUUUGUUUUAUUUUGCUGUGAACACAAGAUGUACCACUGAAAGAUGAGGAGGACUUUUGAAAACUUAGAAGUGAUCGAAAUGUGUUACUGACUGAAGCAACAAAAUACAUGAUACCUUGUUAUUUCCAUUCUCUAAAGUCAUGAAAGAAACCUUCCAAAAGAGAACAUGGGAUGCAAUAAAAAAAAGUAAGAUUCCCAACAUUUUGGCCAUAUUGCCAAUUCUUUCCCUGUCUACCUGUUUUCCCUUGAGCAAGACAAUUUCUCUCUUUGAACCUGUUUCCUUAUCUGAGAAUAUAAAGGUCUGUGUAGUUGAGCAGUGGCUCUUAAAUAUUUUAUUUUUCUGUCAUGAACUCUUUUAAUAUGGAGAAACUAUGGCUCUAUUUAUUGUUUUAAACUGAAUAAAUUUAAUUUAAAAGAACAAUAACAUUACUAGGACAAAUAUAAAUUUGUACACCUUUAUGAGAUUAAAAGGGAAUCCAAUUAUGUUGAAAUAUCAUUAUCAAAUUAUUUUUUAAUUCUUGAAUUCCAUACUAAAGAUCUCAAUGUUAGAGAUUAUCUAUGAUCCCUUCUUAUUGUAACAUUCUGUGAGAUUGAAUUAUAAUUUUUUUUCAAUUUUCCAGUGUAUGGAAACUAUUCAAUUUGCUUAUGGGUAUAUCAAGUCUAUUAAAUAAAAUGCCAAUGCUAUCUACAAUAA